UUACGGGAGGCAGCAGUAGGGAAUUUUCCGCAAUGGACGAAAGUCUUACGGAGCAACGCCGCGUGAGGGAUGAAGGUUUUCGGAUCGUAAACCUCUGUCUUUGGGGACGACAACGACGGUACCCAAGGAGGAAGCCACGGCUAACUACGUGCCAGCAGCCGCGGUAAUACGUAGGUGGCGAGCGUUGUCCGGAAUUACUGGGCGUAAAGGGCGUGUAGGCGGCCUUUUAAGUCAGACGUGAAAUCCCUGGGCUUAACCCAGGACCUGCGUUUGAAACUGGAGGGCUUGAGGACCGGAGAGGGUAGUGGAAUUCCCAGUGUAGCGGUGAAAUGCGUAGAUAUUGGGAGGAACACCAGUGGCGAAGGCGACUGCCUGGACGGCACCUGACGCUGAGGCGCGAAAGCUAGGGGAGCAAACGGGAUUAGAUACCCUCGUA
rnacentral:rRNA from 1 species